rnacentral:rRNA from 1 species
UAAGUAGAAGUGAAGCACACGGCUCAACCGUGUAACAUCUUCUAAACUGGUUAACUAGAGGGCGAGAGAGGUUAUUGGAAUUUCUUGUGUAGGAGUGAAAUCCGUAGAUAUAAGAAGGAACACCGAUGGCGUAGGCAGAUAACUGGCUCGCACCUGACACUAAGGCACGAAAGCGUGGGUAGCAAACGGGGACUAGAUACCCCCGGUAGUCCACGCUGUAAACGAUGGAUGCCUA